CAUCCUCGAUCUGCUGGGGACAGAUGAAAUGGAUAUGCGCGUCGAAGCCGCCCGCCGUCAGAAUGCGUCCUUCGCCCGCGAUGGCUUCGGUGCCCGGACCGACGGGAAUGGUGACGCCGUCCUGCGUAUCCGGAUUGCCCGCCUUCCCGAUGGCAGCGAUCCGUCCAUCCCGCAGGCCGACAUCGGCCUUGUAGAUCCCGCUAUGGUCCAGGAUCAGCGCGUUCGUGAUGACGGUGUCGACCGAGCCCUCGGCCCGCGUCAUCUGCCCCUGGCCCAUCCCGUCGCGGAUG
rnacentral:sRNA from 1 species